CGGGUUGUUAGGUUAGAAUCAUUCCAAUAAAACAUGACAAAUAUAUUUUCUUAUGAUAUAUAUCCCACAAAAGCAACCAUGUUAAAGAAUAUAUUAGAUUGUGCGACAGUAAUAAUGUACUUUUCACAAGAAACAAAAUUAAGUUGUAGGCCGAGAUGAGCGGAACUUCCUCAUACUUAAAAUUUGCAAUAUAUGUACCCCAAAACCUAUUUUAAAAAUUCAAAAACCGCAAUUCGUUUACUGUUUGCACUCUCAUAAUUUUUACUUAGAGCACCUGCAGUGCUAUCAACAACAUAUAUAUCGAUAUAUCUAUAUUUAUCAUCCCUAUUGCUUAUCAAACAACAUUUUCUAACAAAACAAAAAAACUUUAGAAACAAAUGCAACGAUGGCAGACAUGCUGACGCAGCUGGCGUAAAGCAACAAGCCGGGUUCGAUUGAACUUCAAAACUCAAGUCUCAAGUGGCGAGAAAUGGAAAAUCCAGAGACCGCCGCACUUGAUUUUAAGGAAGUUUUUUAAAAAAGAGCUUUUGCUUGAAAGAAUUCAGACUGGAAUGAAAAAAUUGCUAUUCAAAUAACAUUUAAGGCCAGUUUGCAAUGAAAAUAAAUUGAUUAAAAAUAUUUGAAAAUCAUCUUUUUUUAGCAUAUGCGUUUAAUUAAUUCACAUAAUAGCAUAACACCUUGAAUGCAUUUCGCUUGUAAAAUGUAUACAUAGUCACAUAUACAUAGUAUGUAAGAAUACUAAUGAUGACGAGCUCAUUUCGGCCAUGUAUUUACAUUGCAGGACUUAACGUACAUAUUUCUUAGUCUAUGACUUAAUAAAAUAUAGAUUGAUUUAAUGUUGUAACAUUUUAGCAAAAUAAAACUCACCACAGGAAAAUGAAAAUAUAAAUAAAAACGAAGCCGACAUCUAAAAGUCAAGCUAGAAUUAAUUUGUUAUAGUGCUUUCAAAUCUGUAUCUAAAUUUCUACUGUAUAGGUAGAUUAAACAAAUAAGUUAUGUUUAUAUAUACAUACAUAUACAUCUAUUUCGGAUAUUGAAUAUCAACUUAAUUUACAUGUGUGAAUAGAACCCUCCUUUGAAGUCUAAAAUGAUGUACAUAAGUAUCUUUUAGUUGAGCGUUCCCCGGCAGCCUUGAGCGCCACACAGACAUGGAAUUUUUUCAUCCUCCAAAGGAAACUUAUAAUCACUCUAUUGUAAUGACUUUUGCAUAGCAGUUCGGCUGCAAUUAGAAGUUGGAGAAAUAAUCUAUGGUUUAUAAAUCGGGCCAAAUUUCCACAUUUGGUGGCAUCGAUAAUGGUUUCCAUGUCGAUUCGAAACAGAUAAGAGCUCCCAAUUCCAAUUGCCUCAUAUUUUGUCUCUCUUAAAUCGGCCACGACAGGUCGAAUCAUUUGUCCGACAUAUUCAAUUACCAUUUCGUCAGCUGCUAUGGGCUCCAUUGCAAAUAGUCCCCAAUCGUGUAUGGCAGAUUUAGCAAAUUUGAGUUGUUUCUUUCGGAACUUGAGCUGGUUAAAUUUCAAAAGCUCUGACUCGCCCAUAGAUCCAAAGGCUGUCAAAAGUCGUCGCUGGUUGGAGCGCGCCUCUCGCGAAAUACCUUGCAUUUUAGAUAUUAAUUUGUUAUGGUGGUGAUUCGUGAGUGCUGUGGGUUCAUCACAACGAUCUUCGUUUUCGGCAUCAUCAAUGUUGGCCUUAGCAUGGUGAUACUUGUGCUUUGCCUUUUCCCGUACAUCCAACUUGUAGUAGCCUUCGGUGCGAGCACAUCCCGUCUUAUGGCGCAUCAAUUCGUCAUCUUUUCUGCGCUUCUUUGGCGGCGGUGGCCAAAAUGCACGGUCCGUUGUGCAGUGAUCUACCCAAUGAGUGUUGUUCAAGAACAUGCUGGGAAGAGAAAAAGUUGCGGAUUAACCAAUCAAAAACUGACCGAAAUAAUAUAAAAUAAAAUAAAUAACUUAC